GAUGAAGAACGUAGCGAAAUGCGAUACGUAAUGUGAAUUGCAAAUUCAGUGAAUCAUCGAGUCUUUGAACGCACAUUGCGCCCCCUGGUAUUCCGGGGGGCAUGCCUGUCCGAGCGUCAUUGCUGCCCUCAAGCACGGCUUGUGUGUUGGGCCCCGUCCUCCGAUCCCGGGGGACGGGCCCGAAAGGCAGCGGCGGCGCCGCGUCCGGUCCUCGAGCGUAUGGGGCUUUGUCACCCGCUCUGUAGGCCCGGCCGGCGCUUGCCGAUCAACCCAAAUUUUUUAUCCAGGUUGACCUCGGAUCAGGUAGGGAUACCCGCUGAACUUAAGCAUAUCAAUAAGCGGAGGA
rnacentral:misc_RNA from 1 species